AUUCUUUAAAUAUGUCCAGGCUCAAGUGGACUUGAGGACUUGAAAUGGCUAAAAUUGAUGCAUUCAGAAUGCAUACUUUGAAAAAUUUUACAUUAUAAAUAUAUACCAUGUUUAUUCUAUGAGUUUAAAGUGGCAUUUUUCUUUCCCCCCAAAGAUUUGCUUUUGGUUUAUGUUUCUUUGAUGUCCAUAUCAGAGUCAUUCUUUUAUCCCCAUUUCAUUUCAGUGGUUCUUUUCAUUCUCCACUUGCAGGUAUACUGAUGACAUGGAACUUGAUGAUGCGGUGCACACGGCAAUAUUGACACUGAAGGAAGGGUUUGAGGGACAGAUCUUGGGAAAGAACAUUGAAAUUGGCAUAAUUGGAUUUGGCAAAAAGUUCAGGAAUUCUUAAAAAAUACAAAACAGUAAAAAAUAUUGUUCCUGUGGAACUUGGACACGAAGACUGAUUAAGCACAACUGCACAAGCUACCUCAAAUCAUGCUUACAUGUAAAUGGGUGACUUAAUAGGUUAU